GGCUGUGGCUCAGUGGGAGAGCAUCUGCUUUGAAUUCAGAAGGUCCCAGGUUCAAUCUAUAGCAUCUCCAGGCAGGGCUG